rnacentral:misc_RNA from 1 species
AGCAGCCGCGGUAAUUCCAGCUCCAAUAGCGUAUAUUAAAGUUGUUGCAGUUAAAAAGCUCGUAGUUGAACUUCGGGGUUUACUCAUUGGUCAGGCUUAAUUGUCUGUACUGGUGAGAUGAAUCUCUACCUUCUGAGGAACUUUCAUGCCAUUUAUUUGGUGUGAUUGGAAAUCAGGACUGUUACUUUGAAAAAUUAGAGUGUUUAAAGCAGGCUAACGUCUGAAUACAUUAGCAUGGAAUAAUGAAAUAGGACGGAUUGAUUCUAUUUCGUUGGUUUCUAGGGUCACCGUAAUGAUUAAUAGGGAUAGUUGGGGGCAUUAGUAUUCAAUUGUCAGAGGUGAAAUUCUUGGAUUUAUUGAAGACUAACUACUGCGAAAGCAUUUGCCAAGGAUGUUUUCAUUAAUCAAGAGCGAAAGUUAGGGGAUCGAAGACGAUCAGAUACCGUCGUAGUCUUAACCAUAAACUAUGCCGACUAGGGAUCGGACGAAGUUAAUUAAUAAUGACGCGUUCGGCACCUUA